CUAAAAAAGGAUUCAAGCCUCCCUUUAAUAUAAUACAUUCCAUUUCAGUUGGUUCUACAUAAAUGCAUUUGUUUUUUAAUUCCACAGGCAUACUCAAAUUAAAUCCACUGAGUUAACUUAAAAUGUAUUAUUAGUUUCGUCUUUGGCAUUUCUUACCAUAAAAUAAUUGAGUUGGAUUUACAGAACCUCUCUAUACGCAUGGGCGGAGAGAGUUCACUUUGUCUGCUACCAGUGACCAAGCGCCACUUCUGCAGCUGCGUGUGCUCAGUGGAUGUGUGACAUUGAGACAUCAAUUAGUACACAUAUUUGGGCAACAAGAAGACAAGUGAGACUUAGCUGUGUGUUAAAGUCUAUUUGUUUGAUCAGCUUCACCAAGCCUCUGCCUUGCUCUAACCUCCUAGUGCUGAGAAUGAAUGUGGAAAUGCAAAGAAUGCAGUUUUGAAGUAGGUAGCAGGUAUUUGUUGUUGAAGCAUUUUAGGCAGAGUCAUGGACACUUCAGGGGCAGUUUUCGUUAUCCAUGUGCUUAUACAGAUUGUCCUUGCACAUUUAAUACAUGGAGUAAGCUACUGAAUCACACAUACAAACUUCAUAGCAGACAGCAAACUCCAGAGCGAGUAGAAGGCUGUACUUUCCGGUGUCAUGUCUGCUCAUGCAGAGAACUAGCAUCAGAGAGAGAUUUUUUUCAACAUUUAAAUGGGCAUCUCAGGCAUGAUGAAACUGUUCCAUGUGUAUUCCUAGGGUGUACAUUUACAACUAAUAUUUAUAGCACGUUCAACACACACAAAAACAGAAAACACAACCAACAUUCAUUUAAAGACUUUAAAGCCA